rnacentral:rRNA from 1 species
UGCAAGUCGAGCGGCAGCACGGGUACUUGUACCUGGUGGCGAGCGGCGGACGGGUGAGUAAUGCCUAGGAAUCUGCCUGGUAGUGGGGGAUAACGCUCGGAAACGGACGCUAAUACCGCAUACGUCCUACGGGAGAAAGCAGGGGACCUUCGGGCCUUGCGCUAUCAGAUGAGCCUAGGUCGGAUUAGCUAGUUGGUGAGGUAAUGGCUCACCAAGGCGACGAUCCGUAACUGGUCUGAGAGGAUGAUCAGUCACACUGGAACUGAGACACGGUCCAGACUCCUACGGGAGGCAGCAGUGGGGAAUAUUGGACAAUGGGCGAAAGCCUGAUCCAGCCAUGCCGCGUGUGUGAAGAAGGUCUUCGGAUUGUAAAGCACUUUAAGUUGGGAGGAAGGGCAGUUACCUAAUACGUGAUUGUUUUGACGUUACCGACAGAAUAAGCACCGGCUAACUCUGUGCCAGCAGCCGCGGUAAUACAGAGG